GGUUUUUAUAAUCAAGCCUGGACGAAAAUUUGGUCUUGCAUGCAGGAGUUGUUCAGUGGCUAUGCCCUGGGAAGGUCUCCAGGAAAGGGCACCUCAGCUUAUGCACUGUACAGGGAGAUUAUUAGCAGGGAGGCAAUGUCUGUUCACCAUGACAUCAGGGACCUUCUUGGACAUUCUAUUGUGUCCUAGAGAGUUCUUGGCAUACUCUGUGAUGUCACCAGUGUUGUAGUAACCACCAGUGCCCUACUUUUUCUCAGUCCCUGCCUGGCAGAUACACAGGAAGACAUGUUUUCCCAGCUUCGCAAGAAUUUUGGGAGAGUGAACGCCGAUUUUGGACAGACUGGAGUGAGGGAAUCUCGCCUUUCAUCAAAAAUAAAUGAUGGACGACGAAAGCUGGCCUGGGGAAUGCUGAAUGAUGGGAGACUGACAUCAUCCCCUGGCCCUGUGGUAAUCAACAAGGAGGCCAACACGGAGAACACAGAAGAACAGAGACUGAUUAGACAGCUGCAGUCAGCUACUGAGGAGAGAAAUGAGCUAAGAGAUCUCCUGACUUAUGUGACAGAGAGAUACAGGAACAACAGGAACCUGCCCAGCCGGAUCCAUAUGGACAAGAUAUGUAUGCAGAAGAAGUUGUUCCCAUUCAGAAAGGAGAGCAAAGCAGAACAGCUUGAUUCUGCACCGCUGCUACAGAAAUUUUUGUUUGAUUUGAACAAGAAAGAUAAAGACGAACAGGAGAAAACCAGCAACCUCCAGACCAAGCAACAUCUGGAUAACACCACUUGAGAGACCACUUGGGAACUGCAUUGCCAUUUUGCCUGCUAGAGGAGAAACAGCAAUAUAACUGUGCUUCUAAAUGUUCACUAAGAAUAUGCUGUUUAGAAAUAUUUUUGUUAUGAUCUUAAAUGAAGUUUUUGUUUUGUUAUUUCAUAGUUAUAUGUUCUUGUUAAUAUUUUUCACAUCUGAAAAUACUUUUAUAUAUUUAUAUUAAUAUUCAUUUUAAUCAUUU
rnacentral:lncRNA from 14 species